rnacentral:rRNA from 1 species
AGAGUUUGAUCCUGGCUCAGGGCGAACGCUGGCGGCAGGCUUAACACAUGCAAGUCGAACGGGCAUCUUCGGAUGUCAGUGGCAGACGGGUGAGUAACACGUGGGAACGUACCCUUCGGUUCGGAAUAACUCAGGGAAACUUGAGCUAAUACCGGAUACGCCCUUUUGGGGAAAGGUUUACUGCCGAAGGAUCGGCCCGCGUCUGAUUAGCUUGUUGGUGGGGUAACGGCCUACCAAGGCGACGAUCAGUAGCUGGUCUGAGAGGAUGAUCAGCCACACUGGGACUGAGACACGGCCCAGACUCCUACGGGAGGCAGCAGUGGGGAAUAUUGGACAAUGGGCGCAAGCCUGAUCCAGCCAUGCCGCGUGAGUGAUGAAGGCCUUAGGGUUGUAAAGCUCUUUUGUCCGGGACGAUAAUGACGGUACCGGAAGAAUAAGCCCCGGCUAACUUCGUGCCAGCAGCCGCGGUAAUACGAAGGGGGCUAGCGUUGCUCGGAAUCACUGGGCGUAAAGGGCGCGUAGGCGGCCGAUUAAGUCGGGGGUGAAAGCCUGUGGCUCAACCACAGAAUUGCCUUCGAUACUGGUUGGCUUGAGACCGGAAGAGGACAGCGGAACUGCGAGUGUAGAGGUGAAAUUCGUAGAUAUUCGCAAGAACACCAGUGGCGAAGGCGGCUGUCUGGUCCGGUUCUGACGCUGAGGCGCGAAAGCGUGGGGAGCAAACAGGAUUAGAUACCCUGAUAGUCCACGCCGUAAACGAUGAAUGCCAGCCGUUGGCCUGCUUGCAGUCAGUGGCGCCGCUAACGCAUUAAGCAUUCCGCCUGGGGGGAGUACCGGUCCCCAGGAUUAAAACUCAAAGGAAUUGACGG